UGCAGUCGACGGGCGUAGCAAUACGUCAGUGGCAGACGGGUGAGUAACGCGUGGGAACGUACCUUUUGGUUCGGAACAACUGAGGGAAACUUCAGCUAAUACCGGAUAAGCCCUUACGGGGAAAGAUUUAUCGCCGAAAGAUCGGCCCGCGUCUGAUUAGCUAGUUGGUGAGGUAAUGGCUCACCAAGGCGACGAUCAGUAGCUGGUCUGAGAGGAUGAUCAGCCACAUUGGGACUGAGACACGGCCCAAACUCCUACGGGAGGCAGCAGUGGGGAAUAUUGGACAAUGGGGGCAACCCUGAUCCAGCCAUGCCGCGUGAGUGAUGAAGGCCCUAGGGUUGUAAAGCUCUUUUGUGCGGGAAGAUAAUGACGGUACCGCAAGAAUAAGCCCCGGCUAACUUCGUGCCAGCAGCCGCGGUAAUACGAAGGGGGCUAGCGUUGCUCGGAAUCACUGGGCGUAAAGGGUGCGUAGGCGGGUUUCUAAGUCAGAGGUGAAAGCCUGGAGCUCAACUCCAGAACUGCCUUUGAUACUGGAAGUCUUGAGUUCGGGAGAGGUGAGUGGAACUGCGAGUGUAGAGGUGAAAUUCGUAGAUAUUCGCAAGAACACCAGUGGCGAAGGCGGCUCACUGGCCCGAUACUGACGCUGAGGCACGAAAGCGUGGGGAGCAAACAGGAUUAGAUACCCUGGUAGUCCACGCCG
rnacentral:rRNA from 1 species